CAAGUUGCGCGGUGAUCUCAAGAAGUUUCGGACGAAGGGAGAGCAGCAGCGGACGGGUGAGUAAAGCACAAGGACUUGUCCCGAAGAGGGGGACAACUGUGGGAAACCACAGCUAAGUACCCCAUAAGCCGAGAGGUGAAAGCAGUAAUGCGCUUUAGGAGAGACUUGUGUCCUAUCAGGUAGUUGGUGAGGUAACGGCUCACCAAGCCGAAGACGGGUAGCCGGACUGAGAGGUUGUACGGCCACAUUGGAACUGAGAGACGGUCCAGACUCCUACGGGAGGCAGCAGUGGGGAAUAUUGGGCAAUGGGGGGCCAACCCUGACCCAGCGACGCCGCGUGAGGGAAGACAGCCUUCGGGUUGUAAACCUCUGUUGCAGGGGAAGAAGAAAGUGACGGUACCCUGCGAGGAAGCUCCGGCAAACUACGUGCCAGCCGCCGC
rnacentral:rRNA from 1 species